rnacentral:rRNA from 1 species
GAAGUUGACGGGGCCGCACAAGCGGUGGAGCAUGUGGUUUAAUUCGACGCAACGCGAAGAACCUUACCAGGGCUUGACAUCCCCUGACCGCGUAUGAAAGUACGUUUUCACCUCGGGUGACAGGGAGACAGGUGGUGCAUGGUUGUCGUCAGCUCGUGUCGUGAGAUGUUGGGUUAAGUCCCGCAACGAGCGCAACCCCUACGUUUAGUUGCUAACGCGUGAAGGCGAGCACUCUAGACGAACUGCCGUUGACAAAACGGAGGAAGGUGGGAUGACGUCAAAUCAUCAUGCCCCUUAUGUUCUGGGCUACACACGUGCUACAGUGGCCGGUACAGACGGACGCAAAGCCGCGAGGUGGAGCAAAUCCUAAAAAGCCGGUCUCAGUUCGGAUUGCAGGCUGCAAUUCGCCUGCAUGAAGUCGGAAUCGCUAGUAAUCGCAGGUCAGCAUACUGCGGUGAAUACGUUCCCGGGCCUU